UUUCUCUCUCUCCAUGCUCGUGAGUCCCCAGGCAAAGAAAGCCUCCGCUUCCGUGUCCGCUCGGCUUCGCCAUCGCCGUCGCCGUCGCCGUCGCGCCCGCGAACCUGCCUGUCUUCGCCGCCGCCGCCGCCGCCGUCGAAUCCUCUCUCGCCGGGACGCGGUCCGGCGUUUCUCCUCCACCCUCCCCGCGCCCCUCGGGCUCCAUCCCUGGGUUCCGUCUCGUCAUCUCUCUUCGCGGCUCCUCGGUCUGGAUGGCCCUCGUCCUCCGAUAGGGUUUGAACCGGUGCGGCUCGGUUCGAAUCUCUGCUGUUCUGAACGCGUCGGAACGGAAUUGGAGACGGAUCGGUAGCUGUUGGAGCAUCGGCAGAUUGGGCCUGCGUGGUGCGGGAAAAUUGGGAUUUUGAUUCGGUUCGACUGGCUCUGUAAGUUUUGUGGUGAGUGGGGGAAAACGAGGUCGGUCCGUAUUAAUGCUCUGUGGGUAGCCAUGCGAUUAUCGUUCGUUUGGAAUAUAGUUUCGGCUCGUGUUUGUCUAUUCGUAGCGGUUCGCAUGGGUUGAGGUUCUGAGCAGUGUCUAUUAGGCACAAGCAAUGUGCGCUUGAGUGCGGAGAGGGUUUUUCGAGGUGCUCCCGGAGCAUGACCGACCUUCUCGUACGCCCCAUGCCUGUCGACCUGUGUGUUGUCAUUCUUGGAUGAAAAUAAAGAAAUUCAUAAUGUUCUGCUUAGGCGGAUGUGGAACACGUGUUCCUGGAGUACUUGGAGAUUUUUCGUAAGUGGGGCAAUGAUUUUUAUGAAUUGGUGGAUGGUCAUCUUCCGUUUGUGUUGUGCUUGUGUGGCCCAUAGAGGUUUUACUGUAUUGGUGUAUGGUUAAUUUCCUAAACACGUUGAUGAUUGUGGUUGAUGAUCUCAGAUUAUUUUUUGGUCUUCCUGUGUAGUGUGAUUUGUCUAACGUGGAUAAUAUAGAUCUGUUCUAGCUUUGUCUCAUUCUGUCUUGGCCAAAAUAGAUGGUUCACUAAUACUCUUGUUGAUGGUUGUUUAAUCUUUUACGCAAUUUUGAGUGUCUUACUGCCUUUUUAUUCAGAAUUCAAUGGCUGUCCUAAAUAAUACGCUUCGUCAUGAGCCGUCAAGAGCUGUAACUUCUGUUUAUGGCUGUAGUUCUGUGUGGAGAUCUGGAUUACCUGUGAUGGCUAAUGGCAAUUGCUACUCUCAUAAUGGCGCACCUAAGUACAGGCGAAGGAUGGUUUCUGCUAUUCGUGAUUUUCCUUCAGGAUGUGGACGAUUUGCACCAAGUAUCAAUGUGGAACCAACAAAGAGUUCAGUUUACAUUGCCAGCUCUCAGAAUAAGGGGACUGCAGCUGAGGCUGGUGAUGCAUCGUGGGGAGGUCAUGUUGAUUCUAGAGUUGGAGAUUCUACAGCUAUCCUCACACAAACAGGUGUUGUAGAAUCUAAUUUGAAAAAGUUGGGGCAGGUGGCUGAUGUAGUUGAUGGUCUAAGCUCAGUGAGUGAGAAGCAACCGACAGGAAUGUCUCUGGGGACUUUAGAGUGCACAGGAAUUGUAGAACCUAGAAAAGUUUUGGAAUCUGAAUUGUUUGAGAGAGAUGGUGGGGUUGCUGCUACUCCUCAAAAUAAAGAUACAACUGAAUCAUUAAUUACUGGUUCCACCGGCAAGUCUCUUGAGAAACCUAAAGCUAGAAGCUAUCCACCUAGGAGAAGGGUUUCGGCAAUUAGACAAUUCCCACCUCGUUUUGGAAGGAAUGCUCCUCUACUUGAUAAGGAAGCACACUUGGAUGUGGCCGCUCAUUUGAAGGAAAUAAAGGUCAGUGAGGAAAGCCACUCGAAGAAUGAAAAAACUCUAAGGGGGACAGAAGUGGCUGGCACAAAUUUGAUUAAAGAAAGUUUACAAGAUUUGGAUUCUCAGGAGUUCAAAUCUUUAAAUGAGGUAACUGAAGCAACUAAAGCUGAAGUUCAGGCUGAACAUGAGGAGAAUGGUGUUGAAGGCAAGAGAGAGCCAGAUAAGCUGGGAACAUUUUCGGAAACGAACAUAGAACUAGAGGUUGCCAAUGAUGGUUGGGGUGGAUCUCCGUGUGGAAGUAAUCCAGAUCUUUCCGUCUGUCAGUCUGAGGCAUAUAUUGAUAAAAGCAUCAGGCACAACAGAAAACGGGCAAAGAAAAUGGUUGCGUACAACAAGGAGGAAAGUCUCAAGAGAAAGCAUGCAGACAUACUAGGAAUUCAGACAUCAGAAGACAAUGCUGGUCCAUCACAAGUUUCAUCUGGAAGGGUCCUUGUGCAAGGUCUGAUGGCUGCAUCGUUUUGUCCUUGGCAGCAGAGCAGAGAGGGAAGCAAAAUGUCUUCUCCUAAUAAUAUGACUGCAAGGAUAGGGAAGAAAGAAGAUCCUGUAGGCCCUGAGAAAUCAAAAUUAACGCAGAAGAAAAAAGACCCUGUGGUCCCUGAGAAAUUAAAAUUAACUCAAAGGGUAAAGCUUAUAGAGGCAAAAACCUCUGUGGGAAAGACUCCGCAGAAGAGCCAAGCUUUUAAAGAAGAGUCUGCUCAUGCAAGCACUAGCGAACUGGUGGUCUGGGGAAAUCAGGAUGUUGUGGACAUUAACGAGCACCAUGAAGAUCUUCAGGUGUUUUUGCAUCCUAGAGCAUUUACUGUGAACCCACCUCCUUUUGGUGAUGGUCUUUUACAAAGAAAACACAGUGAUGAUGUUACUCGACACAAAGUCAGGGAGACACUGCGUCUGUUCCAAGCUGUCUGCAGGAAGCUCUUGCAGGAAGAAGAAGCCAAGACCAAAGGUGAAAACAAGCAUAAAAGGGUUGAUCAACAAGCAGCAAAAAUCUUGAAGGACAAGGGAAGAUAUGUUAACACUGGAAAACAAAUCAUAGGUCCUGUACCUGGAGUUGAAGUUGGGGAUGAGUUUCAGUAUAGAGUAGAGCUGAACAUUAUUGGCCUUCAUCGCCAGACUCAGAGAGGUAUUGAUUAUUUCAAGAAAGGUGGAAAUGUCCUGGCGACGAGUAUCGUGUCAUCGGGUUCAUAUUGUGAUGAUCUGGAUAACUCAGAUUUUGUGAUAUACACUGGCUCGGGAGGGAAUGUGAUUGGCAAGGACAAGGAGCCCGAAGAUCAGAAACUUGAAAAAGGUAACCUUGCUCUGAGUAACAGCAUAUCUGAAAGGAAUCCUGUGAGGGUGAUUCGGGGAUUGAAAGAAACAAGGCCAUCUGAUUCCGCCGAAGCAAAACCUAGACUGGUUACUACCUAUACUUAUGAUGGGCUGUAUGUGGUGGAAAAACGUUGGCAGGAACUGGGUCCACAUGGCAAACAGGUCUUUAAGUUCCGUUUGAACCGAAUUCCUGGUCAGCCUGAGCUCGCUUGGAAAGUGGUAAAGAAGUCGAAAAAGUUUGAAGCACGGGAGGGUCUCUGUGUGCAUGAUAUUUCACAAGGGAAAGAGUCCAUUCCAAUAUGUGUUGUCAACACCAUUGAUAAUGAAAAGCCCCUGCCAUUUGAGUACAUUACUCGCACGAUAUAUCCUGACGGGCUCUGCCUGCCCUGUCGGGGUUGUGAUUGUUCUAGGGGUUGCUCAGAUACGGAGAGGUGCAUCUGUACUGUCAAGAAUGGAGGAGAAAUUCCGUACAAUUAUAAUGGAGCUAUUGUUGAGGUAAAGCCCCUGGUUUAUGAGUGUGGACCUCGUUGCAAGUGCCCUUCCUCUUGCCACAAUAGGGUCACCCAGCGUGGUCUCAAGUUUCAGCUAGAAAUUUUCAAGACUGAAUCAAGAGGUUGGGGUGUGAGAUCCCUUAAUUCUAUACCCUCUGGAAGUUUUAUAUGCGAGUAUAUAGGAGAGCUCCUUUCAGACGAGGAAGCAGAAGAACGGACCAAUGAUGAGUACUUAUUUGACAUUGGCACUAACUACAACGACAGUAAUCUUUGGGACGAGCUCUCAACCCUUAUGCCUGAUGUGCACAUGGAUUCUUGCGAAAUUGUGGAGGAUGGUGGUUUUACCAUUGAUGCAGCCAAGUGUGGGAAUGUUGGGAGGUUCAUUAACCACAGCUGUUCUCCCAAUCUGUAUGCCCAAAAUGUCCUCUAUGAUCAUGAGGACAAGCGAGUUCCUCACAUAAUGUUCUUUGCCGCUGAAAAUAUUCCUCCUUUGCAGGAAUUAACUUACCAUUACAAUUAUACGAUAGGUCAGGUUCAUGACUCUAGUGGCAAUAUUAAGAAAAAAGAUUGCUACUGUGGUUCUGUGGAGUGCACGGGAAGGAUGUAUUAAGGAGAAAUGACUGAAGUAUGUUUUUGGGUUUUUGAGAAGGAAGGUGUGCUGUUGGCCAGAAAGAAGAGAAGGAACUUGUGCUUUCUCAGGAGCCUGGCGUUAUGUGGCAGAAGGUGUUACAGAGCGCACAACAGAAGCUCUUUUUCUUCACCUGGGAAGAUUAUCAAGAGAGGGCCCAUGUUUGACUCCAUCAAAAUAUUUAAUUGGACCAUCUUCACAUAAAAGUAUAAGCCGAGUUAGUGCUACCUUCGCUUGAGGUUGUUGGGGUUAGUGCGACCUUGGGCGACGGUCACAGUAGGCUAGAUUGCCGAAGCUCGAUCUUGCCUCACUGGCGACGUCGCACAAGACCUAGAGCAGAUGCUGCAAGAAUUAGGGCAUAGUCGGCCUCAUCGAACAGAAACUUGUGAAAUACUUUGGAAGACCCGAACAUUUAAUGACACCAGAGCCACACCUUUCAGGCCUCUAGGUUGCUGUAACUUCUGAUUUAAUUUUGACAGUAGCGUGGAUGUUUGGCACUGCUACUAUGUCUAUGGGCAGGACAAUGAGAACUCUCAAUGUAGAAGCCACUGGAUGUUCGAUGGGUGAGACAGCUUGAGCACAUUGGUAUUGUUCACUAUAGAGAACUGAAUGAGGUAGUGUAUGGAACCUGGCUUUACAGUUAACUGCAUAUAUCCAUUUUUUGGUUUUCUUUGUUUUUUCACAUGGAGAUGAUCUUUUUCCAAUGGGUAGUAAGAAAUUUUUUGCUGAACCAAACGUGGUUGCAUGUUUAGUGAAAUUGAGGUUUCUGCUGAAACUUUAACUAAUACAUCAAUGCAAUGUGCAACUCCUGCUCACACUCCUGCAAAUGUUACAUUUUCGUUGCUUGCAGCAAUAGAUUAGCAUGCAGUGAGGCCAGAGAAUGUGAGUGUUGUAAAAUGCUAUCUAUGGCUUCUAAUAUUGGACCAGAAUAUGAAGCGGGGUCUUUAAUCACAUCUGCCAAAAUUGCUAUAUAUAGAUCCAGUUAGAUUCCUUGUUGGUGGAUGUGAUAAGUGCAAGUUGAAGAAUGUCACAGGUUCAAACGAAUACAACAGUUGACUUUGAUAUUGGAAGACUGAAAGAGGCUUCUAAAUUCACAAUGUUUGAUUACCUAUAUGGUGCAGCACUUCAAUGCUUCCUAAAGGACAAGGUCUCAUGGUGGCUGGUUUGAAACUUCAUGAAGCAGGCAGAGGGCCAGAUAAUUUGGAUACACAAGAAGAACAGCUCUGCAUUGGGCAUCAAAUUUUGGAAGAUAGGACCGUCAAGAUCUUGGAAAUUAUUUAUAUACACCAGCACAUAUUAAUCCUUGUUAUAUUUUUGCCCUGAAGCUGGCCAGAUCAUGCGGCUUGUUCUGGUCAGGACUCACUGAACGGCGACAGUUAUUGGUGUUCGGCAAAUCACGGAGAGGAGACUGAUUGAAUUCGUUGGAAUUGGAGCAGCGCCAGGAGCUGUUGAUGAUUCAAGGCCUCAGUAAGUCUCGGAGGUCAAACGGUGCUCAUUCGGCUUCAAGCAUGGGGCAUAAGGGAAUUGUCGCAUAUGUGGUUGAAGCAACUUUUUAUUGGAUUUCUUUAUAUUGGACUCUUUUUUGGACCAUACUCGUAAUUUGACUUUAUUGACUCAGAGAUGUUUCUGGCCCA